UGGAAUUUCCAUCCUUAGAGCUUUUUAAGGCCCGGCUUGACAAAGACCUGGCUGGGAUGAUUUAGUUGGUGUUGGUCCUGCUUUGAGCUGGGGGUUGGUUUAGAUGACCUCCUAAGGUCUCAUCCAGCCCUAAUUUUCUAUGAUGACAACAAGACAACAGU